CCCUUACCUGCGUUUAAUUAGUCCCUACUUCCCACCUUGCUCUGCCCAGGUAAUGAAGUAACAGAGGGAUUAAGUGUUUUUCUGGUUAGGUUCGAGUACUUUAAUUGCUUCCUUUGUAUUCUUCAACCUCUUAUUUUCACCUCUACCUGCGUCUAAUUAGUCCCUUCUUCUCACCUUGCUCUGCCCAGGUAAUGAAGUAACAGAGGUAUUAAGUGUCUUCCUGGUUAGUUUCGAGUACUUUAAUAACCCCCUCUUGCAUUCUUUUGCCUGUUAUUUUUACCUGCAUUCUUUUACCUGUUAUUUUUUCCUUUUACCUGACUAAUUAACCUUCCCACCUUGCUCUGCCCAGGUAAUGAAGUAACAGAGGAAUUAAGUGUCUUUCUGGUUAGUUUCGAGUACUUUAAUAACCCCCUCUUGCAUUCUUUUGCCUGUUAUUUUUACCUGCAUUCUUUUACCUGUUAUUUUUUCCUUUUACCUGACUAAUUAACCUUCCCACCUUGCUCUGCCCAGGUAAUGAGGUAACAGGGAUUAAGUGUUUUUCUGAUUAGGUUCGAGUACUUUAAUUGCUUCCUUUGUAUUCUUCAACCGCUUAUUUUCACCUGUUCAUUGUUUACCUGUCUCCUAAUUAACCUCCUCUUCUCACCUUGCUCUGCCCAGGUGAUGAAGUAACAGGGAUUAAAUGUCUUUCUGAUUAGUUUCGAGUACUUUAAUAGCUUCCUUUGUAUUCUUCAACCUCUUAUUUCACCUCUACCUGCGUCUAAUUAGUCUUCUUCCCACCUUGCUCUGCCCAGGUGAAGAAGUAAGAGGGAUUAAAUGUCUUUGUGAUCUCUUUUAUAAUCUCCUAACCUUUCCCUCCUUCCUUUGUUCCUCUCUUCUCUCCUAAUCUCAUUCUCGAUAUUCCUUUUUCUUCCUUCUACCCCUUCUUCCUUUAUUUAUUUUACCCUUCUUCCCUCUAUUUCUCUAUCUUUGCCUACUUCUUUCCUUCCUUCAUUCAUUUGUCCAUUCGUCUCGUUCUUAGUUUUACGUUUCCAUCCUCUACCUGUCACUAAUUAAUUCCUUCCCACCUUGCUCUGUCCAGGUGUUCAACAAGCAAGAUGGAUACUAAGUCCUUCUGAUCAGUUUCUCAAAUAUAUUCAUAACCUCCUUUGUAUCCUUCUGUCCCUAUUAGCUUUACCUCUCCAUCCUUCACCUGUCCCUAAUCAAACCCUU